rnacentral:rRNA from 1 species
CGGGGUGCACCAGGCGCGAAAACUUUGCAAUACACGAAAGUGUGACAGGGUUAUCCCGAGUGCCGACCGCUGAGGUUGGCUUUUACCCAGUCUAGAAAGCUGGGGGAAUAAGGAGAGGGCAAGUCUGGUGUCAGCCGCCGCGGUAAUACCAGCUCUCCGAGUGGUGUGGACGUUUAUUGGGCCUAAAGCAUCCGUAGCUGGCUGGACAAGUCCCCUGUUAAACCCACCGAUUUAAUCGUUGGCGUGCGGGGGAUACUGCUCGGCUAGGGGACGAGAGAGGCAGACGGUAUUCCCGGGGUAGGGGUGAAAUCCUAUAAUCCCGAGAAGACCACCAGUGGCGAAGGCUGUCUGCUAGAACGCGCCCGACGGUGAGGGAUGAAAGCUGGGGGAGCGAACCGGAUUAGAUACCCGGGUAGUCCCAGCUGUAAACGAUGCAGACUAGGUGUUUGGACGGCCACGUGCCGUUCUAGUGCCGCAGGGAAGCUGUUAAGUCUGCCGCCUGGGGAGUACGAUCGCAAGAUUGAAACUUAAAGGAAUUGGCGGGGGAGCAC